rnacentral:rRNA from 1 species
CCUACGGGAGGCAGCAGUGGGGAAUAUUGGGCAAUGGACGCAACUCUGACCCAGCAACGCCGCGUGAGGGAUGAAGGUCUUCGGAUUGUAAAACUCUUUAAGUGGGGACGAAGAGAGUGACUGUACCCCCGGAAUGAGCCUCGGCUAACUACGUGCCAGCAGCCGCGGUACUACGGAGGAGGCAAGCGUUAUCCGGAAUGACUGGGCGUAAAGGGUGCGUAGGUGGUUUGACAAGUUAGUAGCGUAAUUCCGGGGCUCAACUUCGGAACUACCACUAAAACUGGUGGGCUUGAGUGCGGGAGAGGUGAAUGGAAUUCCUAGUGUAGCGGUGGAAUGCGUAGAUAUUAGGAGGAACACCAGUGGCGAAAGCGACUCACUGGCCCGUAACUGACACUGAGGCACGAAAGCGUGGGGAGUAAACAGGAUUAGAUACCCCAGUAGUC